UACGUAGGCAGCGAGCGUUGUUCGGAGUUACUGGGCGUAAAGCGUGCGUAGGCGGUUGUCUAAGUUUGGUGUGAAGUCUCCCGGCUUAACUGGGAGGGUGCGCCGAAAACUGGGUGACUGGAGUGUCGGAGAGGUAAGCGGAAUUCCUGGUGUAGCGGUGAAAUGCGUAGAGAUCAGGAGGAACACCUGUGGUGUAGACAGCUUACUGGACGAUAACUGACGCUGAGGCCCGAAAGCGUGGGUAGCAAACAGG
rnacentral:rRNA from 1 species